ensembl:lncRNA
GCAGUUUACUCUGGGCACGCUUUUCAUCCAAAGUGAAAAUGCUGUCCCCUAUCCCAAACAGGUUUUAAUAUAGGGAAUUUGAAAAUAUUUAUAAUUUUACUUUCAAUACUUAAGUAUCAAAAGUAAAUGUAAUUGCUAAAAUAUACUUAAGAAUUUAAAGUAAAUGUAAUUGCUAAAAUAUUAAAACCAAAUACUUUUAGACUUUUACUCAAGUAGUAUUUUACUAGGUAACUUUCACUUUUACUUGAACAAUUUUCUAUUAAGGUAACUUAACUUUUACUCAAGUAUGACAAUUGGGUACUUUUUCCACCACUGUACAUAUAUAUAAUAUAUUAUAAUUAUAUAUAUAUAUAUAUAUAUAUAUAUAUAUAUAUAUAUAUAUAACUUUCAUUUUUCUUUAUUUUUAAGAGAAAUGCCAUGGCGUUCGUGGUGCAAUAUAUGACUCGCAAUCUGCAACCAAUACAUGUUAGCUGCGACAUUGUUUUCAAAGUAUAUCAAUGGUCGUGAAAAUGACGAACAUGGCAACUCUACUAUGAGUUGUAUUUCCGUCAUGGCGCAGACCAUAUUAAGAAAUCGCAAGAUAUCAUUCCAUGUCACCCCACCACCGCCUACCAAAGGGCUCUUGGGCUCAAUUCUUCACGGCUGACGCCACAUACCUGAACUAUAUCGCCGUUUCGGUUAGUUAAAAUGAUUAUUCCGACAAUUUCUGGUUCUGACAUUUUGUGGAAACUGAACUGCGCUUACAUCCUAGUGGGGUGUCUGCUGCCUGUUGUAGACACUCACAUUAACUGUAAGGUGAUCCAACAUCCUAACUAUACAACGACCUAUGACCUCCAUGAACUACCUGAAUCUCUGCCUUUGGACAAUUGCGAGACCCAGUGGUUGGAUGAAAACAUGACUGUUCUUGCCAAUGACAAAGAGAUAGACGAAAACCGUACUUUGGCUCAGACCAGUCACUCCAUCACCAUCUUAGGCUGCCUGGACAGACUGACCUACUCAAUGGACUGCACGCUGACUGUGGCACCAUUUUGGGACGUGCAGUGCCUCACUAAUUGCAGUCAUGGACCUUACAAACGUGCCACCAAUCUCCACAGUAAUGACCAUGUCCCCAUCAAUCAAGUGUUUCUGUUGUAGAAUUAGACUACUGUCAAGUCUACUCCUGCUCCUCCCCUCUGGUGUUCGACAUCGCCGGUAUACUAACCACCUGUCCUGGGAUCCAUCAUUACGCACACCUGGGAUCCAUCAUUACGCACACCUGGGAUCCAUCAUUACGCACACCUGGGAUCCAUCAUUACGCACACCUGGCAACCAUCAUUAUGCGCACCUGCAGAUCAUCAUGAUACUCACCUGGACUCCAUUACAUCCAUUCCAUUCUCUCUUUUGAAAUCACCGUUUUGUGUAACACGUGUCAUAUUGUGUUGGCCCGCUAGGGACCUGUUUCAUUGUACUUAGUUCUAAUCAAUGGUCUAGACUCUGUUUGUGUAUCUUAUAUCAUUUUAGCUUGUUAUUAAAUAAAUAAUCAAUUCAAUGGUAUAGUGAGACUCGGGUUUGUGCAGAUUCCCAGAUUAUGUGACUAUCAGAAUGAGACUGUAGAGGAAAUUGAUUAAUUAGUGACUGUUGUAAAAUCUAUAUUCUUUGAGUUUAUUUGGGAAAUUGAAACUCAAAGCCAAAACUUUCCCCAAGGUUAAUGAGUUAAUAAUUACCUGAUUCAUUUAAUCACGUAAUUAUAAACAGUUAAUAAUUCGAUGAACAGCAGUCGUCACAUCAAUGCAACGUUACAACACUGUUUUCACCUCCUAUUCCAUUUUCCCAUUAGUCUCCAGGAUACCUGUAAAGUAUGUUUUGUGUGUAAAGUCCCAAGCCUUGCUGAAACUUCAGAACUCAUCUGUAGAGUACUGGGGGCCAUUGUCUGAGUAAAGGAUGUCAGCUAUCCCAUAGCGCGCAAAUUGUGUCUUCGGUUUUCUAAUGACCGUUUGACUGUGUUCUCAAUGGUUCACUUCCCAGAAGUUGGAGAGAUAAUCUACUGUGACCAUGUAGUCUCUGUAGUUGAACUGGAACAGGUCAGUCCCGUAUUUUUCCCAGGGAUGCUUUGGUGCUUCGUGUGGCCUCAGCAUCUCUUCCUGCUGCAUCACAUCCCAUGCAGUGCAGGUGCUACAUUGUGCCAUGUAUGUUCUCAGCUGUGCGUUCAUGCCUGGCCAGUAGACACAUUCACAAGCUCUUCUCUGUUCCUAUCUGUGAGCAAUGGAUUCUCUGCAUUAUCUCUGACCUCAGGGCAGUAGGCACAAUGCCUCGCUCACCUCUGAAGAUAACUCCAUUUUGCACACUCAGCUCAUCUCUGUUGUGAAAAUACAUGGCUACUUCCAAGGGUACAUGUUUUUUCACUUCAGGCCACCCCUGCAGGAUCACAUUUUUCAGUGUCUGCAGCUCCCGGUCCACCUCAGUGGCUCUCUGGGUGGCCUUUACUCUCAACACAGGGAAGUAGUGUAUUAUAUUGAUUGAUUCCACUUCCAAAUUCAAUCACGAAGCAAUAGAAUGAGUCUUAUAGAAAUAUAUUAAAUUAUAUAAACUCCAAGUAGCCAGAAAAUAAUUAAUUAAAUAGAAACCCCUCCCAGCAAUGUACAAUUUACCAUACAGACAGUGUAGCGCUUCUCAUUAUUUUUCUGUGACAAAGUCUAUGGGAACAGCUGUCAUCAAGGCCAAGGGUGGCUACUUUGAAGAAUCUCAUAUAAAAUAUAUUUUGAUUUAACACUUUUUUUUGGUUUCUACAUGAUUCCAUGUGUUAUUUUAUAGUUUUGAUGUCUUUACUAUUAUUCUACAAUUUAUAACAUAGUAAAAAUAAAGAAACUUUUGACUGGUACUGUAGUCACAAACUCUUCUUCUCAACACAUCAAUAGAACAUCAACCUUGAAUCCCAUCAUCCAUCUUCUCAGUUCAACUUCAACAGACGUUCUUGAAUGAACACUCCUACCCUGAGUUUCAGUGUUCGGUUCUAAAUGAACCUAUUAAAACUCACGGACACUUAAAGCUCAAACCUAGUAGCUACUAAAAACAAUUGGAUACCAUGAAAUUGGGGAGAAGGGGUAAAAAAUUUAAAAUUAUAGACUGAUCAUUUCUUUGUCAGUGGGCAAAACAUACAAAAUCAGCAGGGGAUCAAGUACUUUUUCCCCCUCACUGUAUAUACUACCACUGGUGGAAAUAUGUAGUUUGUCUUAUGACCCAAUGGGGGAAGCUACUAUCUUAUGACCCCUUUGGGUCAUAAGACAAAAUACAUAUUAUACCCCUCUGCAAAACAUGACUUAGUACUUGGUGGCAAAACUCUUGUUGGCAAUCACAGAGGUCAGACGUUUCUUGUAGUUGGCCACCAGGUUUGCACACAUCUCAGGAGGGAUUUUGUCUCACUCCUCUUUGCAGAUCUUCUCCAAGUCAUUAAGUUUGAGGCUGACGUUUGGCAACUCGAACCUUCAGCUCCCUCCACAGAUUUUCUAUGGGAUUAAGGUCUGGAGACUGGCUAGGCCACUCCAGGACCUUAAUGUGCUUCUUCUUGAGCCACUCCUUUGUUGCCUUGGCUGUGUGUUUUGGGUCAUUGUCAUGCCGGAAUACCCAUCCACGACCCAUUUUCAAUGCCCUGGCUUAGGGAAGGAGGUUCUCACCCAAGAUUUGACGGUACAUGGCCCCGUCCAUCGUCCCUUUGAUGCGGUGAAGUUGUCCUGUCCCCUUAGCAGAAAAACACCCCCAAAGCAUAAUGUUUCCACCUCCAUGUUUGACGAUGGGGAUGGGCAGCAUUCCUUCUCCUCCAAACACGGCGAGUUGAGUUGAUGCCAAAGAGCUCCAUUUUGGUCUCAUCUGACCAUAACGCUUUCACCCAGUUGUCCUCUGAAUCAUUCAGAUGUUCAUUGGCAAACUUCAGACGAGCAUGUAUAUGUGCUUUCUUGAGCAGGGGACCUUGCGGGCGCUGCAGGAUUUCAGUCCUUCAUGGCAUAAUGUGUUACCAAUUAUUUUCUUGGUGACUAUGGUCCCACCUGCCUUCAGAUCAUUGACAAGAUCCUCCCGUGUAGUUCUGGGUUGAUCCUCACCGUUCUCAUGAUCAUUGCAACUCAACGAGGUGAGAUCUUGCAUGGAGCCCCAGGCCGAGGGAGAUUGACAGUUCUUUUGUGUUUCUUCCGUUUGCGUAUAAUCGCACCAACUGUUGUCACCUUCUCACCAAGCUGCUUGGCGAUGGCCUUGUAGCCCAUUCCAGCCUUGUGUAGGUCUACAAUCUUGUCCCUGACAUCCUUGGAGAGCUCUUUGGUCUUGGCCAUGGUGGAGAGUUUGGAAUCUGAUUGAUUGCUUCUGUGGACAGGUGUCUUUUGUACAGGUAACAAAAUGAGAUUAGGAGCACUCCCUUUAAGAGUGUGCUCCUAAUCUCAGCUCGUUACCCGUAUAAAAGACACCUGAAAGCCAGAAAUCUUUCUGAUUGAGAGGAGGUCAAACACUUAUUUCCCUCAUUAAAAUGCAAAUCAAUUUAUAACAUUUUUGACAUGUGUUUUUCUGGAUUUUUUUGUUGUUAUUCUGUCUCUCACUGUUCAAAUAAACCUACCAUUAAAAUUAUAGACUGAUCAUUUAUUUGAUCAAAUACUUUUU